rnacentral:pre_miRNA from 1 species
CUAUGAAGAGAGCUAUCCGUGGACAGUGAUAGUUCUGCACAACUGUCAUGGAGUUGCUCUCUUUAUGGAU